CUGAAGAUUGCAAUGUUAACUCCUCAUUGUCCUUCACUCUUCAGGUUUGUCUUUUUCUUAAUCAACCGCAGAAGAUUUGAGGAGAAAUAGUACGCGAGAGAAGGCGAAGACUAUUAUGAUUUGAAGAGCCAGAAAAUGAAGAUGGAGGCAUAAGAGAGACUUAAAUAUUGUAAUUAUUUGUUACAACCUCUUUUACCUGUCUUAAAUCAAAUCCACGAAGAGCAAGCAAUGGAAAAGGAGACCGAGGCAAAGAUUCAAGAAACACUGAUGAUGUAGACAAGACGAUGGAUGGGAUUAAUGAGCAGACUGAGAACAUGAAGCAGGUUCAGGAAGCUUUGCCAAACCCCAUUGAAGCAGCUGCCGAAUUUGAUGAGGACGAAUUGGAAUCUGAACUCGAGGAGUUGGAAGGAGCUGCGUUGGAGGAAUAACUUCUACAACCUGCAACCCAAACUCAGGUUCAAAUCAAGGUUAAUGGUGAAUUUGUCAGAUGCUCAAAACAGAGAACAAAUUCUCAAAGUUAUAUUGGAAAAAGAAGAUAUGGCAGUUGAUGUGAAUUUGGAUGUUCUUGCAAAAAUGACAAAUGGAUAUUCCGGAAGCGACUUAAAGGUUUGUUCUAUAAACAUUUCCUUAUGUACUCUUCUCUCGUGCCAAGUCUUCAAUGUUGUAAGUUUUGUAAGUUACAAUGUAGGAAGUUUC